rnacentral:rRNA from 1 species
AGAGUUUGAUCCUGGCUCAGGAUAAACGCUGGCGGCGUGCCUAACACAUGCAAGUCGCACGCCCUUCGCGAGAAGGGAGUGGCGGACGGGUGAGUAACACGUGGGAACCUACCCUGAGGUGAGGGAUACCGGCGAGAAAUCGCCGACAAGCCCGCAUAGGCUCUGGUGCAAGCCAGAGCAAAGCCGCAAGGCGCCCCAGGAUGGGCCCGCGGCCGAUUAGCUGGCUGGUGGGGUAACGGCUCACCAGGGCGUCGAUCGGUAGCUGGUCUGAGAGGACGAUCAGCCACACUGGGAUUGAGAACGGCCCAGACUCCUACGGGGGGCAGCAGUGAGGAAUUUUCCGCAAUGGACGCAAGUCUGACGGAGCAACGCCGCGUGCAGGAAGACGGCCUUCGGGUUGUAAACUGCUUUUCUGUGGGAAGAGUAGGGACGGUACCACAGGAAGAAGCCCCGGCUAACUACGUGCCAGCAGCCGCGGUAAUACGUAGGGGGCGAGCGUUGUCCGGAGUUACUGGGCGUAAAGGGCACGCAGGCGGUCAAGUAAGUGUGCGGGGACAGUGGGCGGCUUAACUGCCCAAGGGUCGCACGGACUGCUUGACUGGAGGGCCAGAGAGGGACCUGGAAUUCCGGGUGGAGCGGUGAAAUGCGUAGAGAUCCGGAGGAACACCAAGGGCGAAGGCAAGGUCCUGGCUGGUUCCUGACGCUGAGGUGCGAAAGCCAGGGGAGCGAACGGGAUUAGAUACCCCGGUAGUCCUGGCCGUAAACGAUGACCACCAGACGUGGGAGGUAUCGACCCCUUCCGUGUCGUAGUUAACACGAUCAGUGGUCCGCCUGGGGAGUACGGUCGCAAGAUUAAAACUCAAAGGAAUUGACGG